GACGAACGCUGGCGGCGUGCUUAACACAUGCAAGUCGAACGGAAAGGCCCUGCUUUUGUGGGGUGCUCGAGUGGCGAACGGGUGAGUAACACGUGAGUAACCUGCCCUUGACUUUGGGAUAACUUCAGGAAACUGGGGCUAAUACCGGAUAGGAGCUCCGGCUGCAUGGUGGGGGUUGGAAAGUUUCGGCGGUGGGGGAUGGACUCGCGGCUUAUCAGCUUGUUGGUGGGGUAGGGGCUUACCAAGGCUUUGACGGGUGGCCGGCCUGGGAGGGUGACCGGCCACAUUGGGACUGAGAUACGGCCCAGACUCCUACGGGAGGCAGCAGUGGGGAAUAUUGCACAAUGGGCGGAAGCCUGAUGCAGCAACGCCGCGUGCGGGAUGACGGCCUUCGGGUUGUAAACCGCUUUCGCCUGUGACGAAGCGUGAGUGACGGUAAUGGGUAAAGAAGCACCGGCUAACUACGUG
rnacentral:rRNA from 1 species